GCUUCGAUGGCGCAGUGGUAGCGCAGUGGUCUCAUAAUUCAUGAGGAGUCUGAUAUUAACUUUCCGAAAUGUAAAAUGCCAUCCAAAGGUCGUGAGUUCGACCCUCACUCGGAGCA
rfam:Ceratocystis platani strain CFO contig_00021, whole genome shotgun sequence.